CGUCGCCGUCGCCUCCAGGGGCCCGGUCGGCGGCUACGCUCCUCCUCCAAGAGCCCCCGCCGGUCGCGGCUGCUGGUUCCCGAGCUAAGAUCCGCCUCCGCCUCCCUCCGCCAUCGCCUCUGCCGGAAGUAAGAUGGACUCGUAAUCAGUCGCUGGAAUAUCGUGGAGGUUGAGCAAUUCCAUUAGUGUUAUUGUGCAGGUGUGAUCUGUUCUAACGAGAGUACCUGGAGUCGAUUGACCUUUCAAAGUAAAAUGUGUUUGCCGCCAAGCGACGUGCCUUGCUUUGUCACGAAGGUUCCGCCCAGAAUACUUGAAGAUGACACCGAGAAACAUUAGGAAUUUGUACGAGCAAUUGAGAGAUGAACUGGAGAACAUUGAGGAGAUAUUGGAGGGAUUGAGGCGCGAUGUGCGCCGGUUAAAAGUCCUACUUCUAAUUCUUUGUGUAUUGUUGGUUAUUUUAUUAGUGACUCGUUAGGGAAGAGAUAGAUGUCUCAAACUUGUAAUUUUGCCGGCUGUAAUCAAACGUCAUGCUGUGUAAGAACAGACCAAGUCAAAUGUUGAAUGGAGCUUCUUAACUAAGUACACACCCUUUUGGAA